rnacentral:tRNA from 2 species
GGAGAGAUGGCUGAGUGGCCGAAAGCGCGCCCCUGCUAAGGGUGUAUAGGCUUAAAACCUAUCGAGGGUUCGAAUCCCUCUCUCUCCGCCA